rnacentral:lncRNA from 1 species
UCCCUUUCUCACAGAAAAACCAAUUGAACCAGCGUAUGAGUAAUACAAGGCCUCUGCCUCUUCCAGAGAAUCGAAUGACAUGUCGAUUUCUGGUUCUGGUACAUUUUCCUCACUUCAACCAUCCUCUGGGGAAUAUUUAGUACCGAUUUUUAUAUAGAAUUAUUGAAUAGGAACUUGGAAUUGAAGAAAUACCUUGGCGUUACAAGAUCUGAAUUCUCAUUUUCGAGGUCUACACAGCUGCAAUUGAUGUUUAAGAAUAAAUUAGCAAUAGUAUCCAUACAUAUGUGCAAUAAAUCAUUCAUUACCUUGUUAAAUGAAUUUGUUCUUACUGAAACGAAAAACUAAGAAUAUAUUGACAAAGUUACAUGUUGUGGCUAUGAUUGUUCUCUUCCUCGUAAUUCUGUAAGUCCAUCAAUGUUUCUCCCUCGUCUGAUUGAAAUUUAGUAAUUAUAUAACAUUUUCCCAGUUUGGGUAUUCAAUAAAAUUCAUCGGAAUUUAAUGAAAAUACACCUCAUUAACUAGUUAUUACCGUAGGAUGCAGAUUUGAUUAUGCAGUCGUGUUC